UACAGAGGUCCCAAGCGUUGUUCGGAUUCACUGGGCGUAAAGGGUGCGUAGGUGGCAGUGUAAGUCUGAUGUGAAAGCUUCGAGCUUAACUCGAAAAUGGCAUUGGAUACUAUAUUGCUGGAGGUUUGGAGGGGGGACUGGAAUUCUCGGUGUAGCAGUGAAAUGCGCAGAUAUCAGGAGGAACACCGAUGGCGAAGGCAGGUCUCUGGGCAUUAACUGACGCUGAGGAGCGAAAAGCAUGGGGAGCGAACAGG
rnacentral:rRNA from 1 species